AAUAGAUACCCGGGUAGUCCUGGCCGUAAACGAUGACCACUAGAUGCACGCGGGCUCGACCCUGGGUGUGUCGCAGUUAACGCUUUAAGUGGUCCGCCUGGGGAGUACGGUCGCAAGACUAAAACUCAAAGGAAUUGACGGGGACCCGCACAAGCAGCGGAGCGUGUGGUUUAAUUCGAAGCAACGCGAAGCACCUUACCAGGGCUUGACAUGCUCUUGCACCGGCGGUAAUGCGCUGUCUCCUUCGGGAGCGGGAGCACAGGUGCUGCAUGGCUGUCGUCAGCUCGUGUCGUGAGAUGUUGGGUUAAGUCCCGCAGCGAGCGCAACCCCUGUGGUUGGUUGGAUAUUGUCCAGCCAGACUGCCGUGAGCAACACGGAGGAAGGUGGGGAUGACGUCAAGUCAGCAUGGCCCUGACGUCCUGGGCGACACACACGCUACAAUGGCCGGUCCAACGGGAAGCCAACCCGCGAGGGGGAGCGGAUCCCAGCAAACCCGGUCUCAGUUCAGAUUGCAGGCUG
rnacentral:rRNA from 1 species